GUAAAGUUCGUGUCCAACCGCA
rnacentral:siRNA from 1 species